rnacentral:rRNA from 1 species
AUCCGCGGUAGAACGUUGAAUACAACAGUUCCCCAUUAAUCGCUGAAGUUAAGCAACGUUACGCGUGGUUAGUAUUUGAAUGGGUGACAAUCCGGGCAAUCGCGUGCUGCUGGCU